rnacentral:rRNA from 1 species
CUUGCUACCGAUGGUGAGAGUGGCGCACGGGUGCGUAACGCGUGAGCAACCUGCCCAUAUCAGGGGGAUAGCCCGGAGAAAUCCGGAUUAACACCGCAUGACACUGCUUUCCGGCAUCGGGAGGUGGUCAAAUAUUCAUAGGAUAUGGAUGGGCUCGCGUGACAUUAGCUAGUUGGUGGGGUAACGGCCCACCAAGGCGACGAUGUCUAGGGGCUCUGAGAGGAGAAUCCCCCACACUGGUACUGAGACACGGACCAGACUCCUACGGGAGGCAGCAGUAAGGAAUAUUGGUCAAUGGGGGCAACCCUGAACCAGCCAUGCCGCGUGCAGGACGACUGCCCUAUGGGUUGUAAACUGCUUUUGUUAGGGAAUAAACCCCGCUACGUGUAGCGGGCUGAAUGUACCUAAAGAAUAAGGAUCGGCUAACUCCGUGCCAGCAGCCGCGGUAAUACGGAGGAUCCGAGCGUUAUCCGGAUUUAUUGGGUUUAAAGGGUGCGUAGGCGGCACUUUAAGUCAGGGGUGAAAGACGGCAGCUCAACUGUCGCAGUGCCCUUGAUACUGAAGUGCUUGAAUGCGGUUGAAGACGGCGGAAUGAGACAAGUAGCGGUGAAAUGCAUAGAUAUGUCUCAGAACACCGAUUGCGAAGGCAGCUGUCUAAGCCGUUAUUGACGCUGAUGCACGAAAGCGUGGGGAUCGAACAGGAUUAGAUACCCUGGUAGUCCACGCCCUAAACGAUGAUGACUCGAUGUUUGCGAUAUACCGUAAGCGUCCAAGCGAAAGCGUUAAGUCAUCCACCUGGGGAGUACGCCCGCAAGGGUGAAACUCAAAGGAAUUGA